GACGAACGCUGGCGGCGUGCCUAAUACAUGCAAGUCGAACGCAGUGGGGACGGGUGAGUAACACGUGGGUAACCUCCCAUCAGAGGGGAUAACACUUGGAAACAGGUGCUAAACCGAUACUGAUGGAUGGACCCGCGGUGCAUUAGCUAGUUGGUGAGGUAACGGCUCACCAAGGCCACGAUGCAUAGCCGCCGGGAGGGGGUGAUCGGCCACACGGGGACUGAGACACGGCCCAGACUCCUAGGGGAGGCAGCAGUAGGGAAUCUGCGGCAAUGGACGAAAGCUUGCCCGAGCAACGCUGCGUGAGUGAAGAAGUUUUUCGGAUCGUAAAACUCUUUUGUUAGAGAAGCGGUAUCUAACCAGAAAGCCACGGCUAACUACGUGCCAGCCGCCGCGGUAAUUC
rnacentral:rRNA from 1 species